rnacentral:lncRNA from 1 species
UUUUGCCCGAGAUGAAAAGGUGAAGAAAUGAAGAAGCUGGGGAAUGAAAAGGACCAUCAGCAAUGGCCUUUCCAGACGAGGAAUUUUUACCUCGUAUGUCAUGAUCAUUAGUAAGGCGAGGAUUGAGGAGGAGCUUCCAUGACAUAAGUUAACAAAUAAACAAGGCCAAUGUAUUCAAGAUUUAUUCACAUUUUAGGAGGCAUAAUUUGAAUUCUGCUCUAGCAAAUCAGAGUGGAUAUAAAGAACGCAAAUGUAGAAGGAAAGAGUUCUAUGAACCGGCGCCUCUUCAUGAGGCCAGCUUACACAAAAAUUAUGGAUAAGAAUGUAAGAUGUUAUAUGUAUCCACUGAAAAAGAGAGCAUAGGUGUUUCGCAACAAUAAACCAAUUCUUAGUGUCACAGGCAAGGGCAAUUUGUAUCCUCCUGUAUAUUUGUUAAAACAAAAAAUUGCAGCUCUGAAUCAUGAGACUGAAGAUUAGCAAAAGGGUAAUGGCAUGUGGAGUGCAGUAUACCAUUGAGUAGCAGUGCAGUCGCAGCUUUUGCAACUAAAAAGUAACCAUUCCUAGAUGUUGUUUGAUUUAGGAAAUAAGAAGACUGUACAAAAGAAAAGGACAAGUUUGGUGCUGAAAAUUACAUCCAUCUCUAAUGGGCAAAGAAGUGAAUUUACUGUAUAGGCACUGUGGUCUCACUGUAACG